CGAACGCUGGCGGCGUGCCUAACACAUGCAAGUCGAACGAGAAAGUCCGGCUUCGGUUGGACAAGUAAAGUGGCGAACGGGUGAGUAACACGUGGAUAAUCUGCCCUUAAAUCUGGGAUAAUCCUCCGAAAGGAGGUCUAAUACCGGAUGAUACCCUUUAAUGGCAUCGUUUUAGGGUCAAAGGCGGGGUAACCUGCCGUUUAAGGAUGAGUCCGCGUCCCAUUAGCUUGUUGGUGAGGUAACGGCCCACCAAGGCUGCGAUGGGUAGCCGGCCUGAGAGGGCGAUCGGCCACACUGGGACUGAGAUACGGCCCAGACUCCUACGGGAGGCAGCAGUAGGGAAUAUUGCGCAAUGGACGAAAGUCUGACGCAGCAACGCCGCGUGGGUGAUGAAGCUUCUUGGAGUGUAAAGCCCUGUCAGUGGGGAAGAAACGUAUGGGGAGUAACUGCCCUGUACCUGACGGUACCCGCAGAGGAAGUCCCGGCUAACUCC
rnacentral:rRNA from 1 species